rnacentral:lncRNA from 1 species
AACCUCACUUUCCACAUUUUUUCUUCCACAGAUACCACUCCCACCUUCUCCCGAAUAAUAUCAUUCCUAACCCUGUCAGCCCUUGUGAAACUACAUAUCCAACGCAACAUCCUUAUUUCUGCCACUUUCAACUUCUAGAUAUGAGAAUUCUUAACCGGCCAACACUCCGCUCCAUACAACAUAAAAGGUUGGAUUGCAAUUCUAUAGAAUUUG